CCUACGGGGGGCUGCAGUGAGGGAUUUUCGGCAAUGGGCGAAAGCCUGACCGAGCGACGCCGCGUGAGCGAAGAAGGCCUUCGGGUCGUAAAGCUCUGUCUAGGGGGAAGAGAAAGGACGGUACCUCUGGAGGAAGCCACGGCUAACUACGUGCCAGCAGCCGCGGUAAUACGUAGGUGGCGAGCGUUGUCCGGAAUUACUGGGCGUAAAGGGCGCGCAGGCGGCGCGUUAAGUCCGGGGUGAAAUCCAUCGGCUCAACCGGUGGGGGACCUUGGAUACUGGCGCACUGGAGUGCGGGAGAGGGAAGCGGAAUUCCACGUGUAACGGUGAAAUGUAUAGAUAUGUGGAGGAACACCGGUGGCGAAGGCGGCUUCCUGGACCGUAACUGACGCUGAGGCGCGAAAGCUGGGGGAGCGAACAGGCUUAGAUACCCCAGUAGUC
rnacentral:rRNA from 1 species